rnacentral:tRNA from 1 species
CCAGGGGUGCCCGAGUGGCUAAAGGGAGCAGGCUGUAAACCUGCCGUCGUAAGGCUUCGUAGGUUCGAAUCCUACCCCCUGGA